UACGUAGGGUGCGAGCGUUAAUCGGAAUUAUUGGGCGUAAAGCGCUCGCAGGUGGUUCGUCGCGUCGUGCGUGAAAGACCCCGGCUCAACUGGGGAGGGUCGUGCGAUACGGGCGAACUGGAGGCCAGUAGGGGGAUGCGGAAUUCCGGGUGUAGUGGUGGAAUGCGUAGAGAUCCGGAGGAACACCAGCGGCGAAGGCGGCAUCCUGGACUGGUCCUGACACUCAGGAGCGAAAGCGUGGGGAGCGAUCCGG
rnacentral:rRNA from 1 species